UACGGGGGGGGGCAAGCGUUGUUCGGAAUUACUGGGCGUAAAGGGCUCGUAGGCGGCCAACUAAGUCAGACGUGAAAAUCCCCUCGGCUUAACCGGGGAACUGCGUCUGAUACUGGAUGGCUUGAGUUUGGGAGAGGGAUGCGGAAUUUCCAGGUGUAGCGGUGAAAUGCGUAGAUAUCUGGAGGAACACCGGUGGCGAAGGCGGCUCACUGGACCCGGUACUGACGCUGAUGCGCGAAAGCGUGGGAGCAA
rnacentral:rRNA from 1 species